rnacentral:rRNA from 1 species
UACGAGAGGCCCAAACGUUAUUCGGAUUUACUGGGCUUAAAGAGUUCGUAGGCGGUCUUGAAAGUGGGGUGUGAAAUCCCUCGGCUCAACCGAGGAACUGCGCUCCAAACUACAAGACUUGAGGGGGAUAGAGGUAAGCGGAACUGAUGGUGGAGCGGUGAAAUGCGUUGAUAUCAUCAGGAACACCGGAGGCGAAGGCGGCUUACUGGGUCCUUUCUGACGCUGAGGAACGAAAGCUAGGGGAG